ensembl:lncRNA
GGGGUGAAGCUUCCCAAAGGAGGGCGGGUCCUGGCGGCGCUAGACAAGGGGCAGGUGCCCGGGUGGAAGAAGGGCACUGGGGCAGGAAGGGGACCCGCGCACGUGGGCCUUCAGGCCGGGUCUCCGCGCGGAGGAAAGGGUCACGUGCAGAUUGUAUUCCAUUAUGGGUUAUUACAAGACACUAGAUAUAAUUCCCUGUGGUAUGCAGUAAAUCCUGGCUGCUUAUCUAUUUUAGCUAUGAACCCAGCUGGAGCCCAGGCCCUCACCCAGUAGCCAACACCACCCGGACAACCUGUGGGCCCGGCUGCCCCUUCCACAAAUGUAUCGGUGCUCCUUGCGCAGAGACUGCAGCUCAGGCUCCCUGGUUCCCUUACAAGCAGGGGAGCGUGAAGCCUGCUCUGCGUCCCAAGCUUCCUGGGCUCCUGGAGGCGCCUUCAUCUGGCCUUCUGUGGCCAAAGACCCAGGACCCCAGAGCACACAGGGCUGUUUCUGGGCUGGCCAGGAGGCAGAAGUACCAUGUUCGUCCAGGCUUCUGUCCGCCUGUCCCAAUGCAGGAAAGCUGCAGAGCCCCCUCUUGACAAGGGUGGGCGCCCCGGUCAGCAUGGACCAGCUGCACGGAGCCAAAGGAUGCGCCGCUGGGGCCUGUUAACAGACAGAAUCAGCCCCAGGCCACCCUUCGUUCAGAAGCUGAGCUCUAAGUCACCCAUGCUCCUCUCUGUGGCAUAUUCAUUUGGGAUGUCUGUAUACAAGGCUGGGAAUGAGGUCUGUCUUUUUCUCUCUCUUAG